rnacentral:rRNA from 1 species
GCCGGGUAGCUAUGUUCGGAAGGGAUAACCGCUGAAAGCAUCUAAGCGGGAAGCCUCUCCCAAGAUUAGAUCUCCCAUAGACUUCGGUCUACUAAAGAGUCGUCAUAGACUAUGACGUUGAUAGGCAAGGUGUGUAAGCGUUGUAAGGCGUUGAGCUAACUUGUACUAAUAACUCGUGAGGCUUGAUCAU